AAAAAAACCUAAUCAUAUACAUUUAAGCUAAUCUCAGAACCAAGUCAUAGCCACCAAACCUAAUCACAGAAGCUUGUUUUCUCAACCUCGCUGCCACCAAACCUCAACCAUAGCCACCACCGUCGCACCUCGCCGCACUUCGCCGUUAUCGCCACCACCAUCUCAACUUCGUCUUCUUCGUAACUCUCGCUUAUGAGCUUCGUGACAUUCUGGACCUUCAGCGCUUCUCAUUUAUGUUGAUUUGCGCUUCUCAUUCCUUAAACAUUUCUCAGCUUUUUAAGUCGAUUUCAGUUUCAAUUUAUUGAGAUCUUAGAUAGUUGUUUCAUCUUCAAUCACCAAUACUACCUCGUACAACACUUCAACUCAUCAGUUAUCAACUAUCAUUACGUCUAAUCAGGAACAGAAAACGUGUUAAAUAUUGGAAGUUGAAUUAUGAUCCUUCUGUGUAAUGCCUAAUUUCAGAUUCAGUGCAAUUCCCUAACCGGUUGCACUGUGAUUGAUGAUUUUGGAGACAAAUUGGUUAGUGUUUCCUCUACAUUUUUAGAUACAUUUUUUUCCUAAGAUUUGAGUCUAUUGUCAAGUUGAAGAAAGCCAAAGAGUUCACAUUGCCGCCUUUGCUACUUAUAUGAAGAAAAGGAUUGCAAAUGCAAGUUUCAUUUUUAAAAUUUCACAAUUUUAAAAAUGGCAGAGACAGAUUCGAACGGAGACGCGUCCUCCUCGCCAACAUCUGCCUCCGCAUCACUAGCGUCAAUGGCUGAAAAUUUUCAGCGUUCUGCAAUUGAAUUUGCUUGUUCUAUGUAACACAACUCUUCCACCCACUUUCGUACCUUUCAGAUGUAUUGAUGGUAGCACGGGAGAAUCCGGCUUUAGGUGUCGGUUUUGCUAUUUCUGUUGCGCUUCUUGUUACGAGGGGUAGUCACAAAUCUACUAAACAAUGAACAUUGGUCUGAGACCAAUAAAAAUUUAACCUUUCUGAUGUAAUUAGGAUUUGUUGGAUUUGAUGAAGAUAAUGGAGAUGAUGACAUUGAUAGCUAUCAUAUUGAAUAGUAUUUGUUUUUAUUUUAUUAAUUUGGUUGUAUCAUAUACUUGAUCAUACUUAGUUUUUUUUUUGGAUCAUGCUUGAAUUAAUGCUUAGUUUUGAUUUUUGAACAUGAUAUAAAUUGUGUCGGAGUAUUGCAAUAGUAUUUCAA